UUCCAUUCACUCCCUCUGUCCAAAUUCUUUUCUACUAUUCUUUUAGAAAUGGCUAUAAUAAAAGGAGGAGAGUUUCCAACAUCUUUAAAGCCAUCAACAAUGCAUAACGCCUAGUCUUUCGCUAAAGCAUUACAAACCCCAACAAAUACCAUUCAAAACAUAUCUAAAAGAAAUCUUUGAUAGAAAGUUAGAAACAAACCACAAGGCUACAAUAAGAAAAUAGGAUCAGUAGACUUAGGACAGAUAUAAGCAUGUCAAGAGUUUCAACUACAAACUUGUAUUUUGCUUUGAUAACUGCACAAAAUUACUGCAGAUAUAGUCCAUCAUGUCUCCGUGUUUCAGGCUGAUGUCACUGAAAAAGGACAGGCGUCCUCAGUGUUUUGGAGAACCAGUUUAGUUAUUUUUCCAUGUCCCUGAUGAUGUAUACAACAAAGAUCACUGUGAAAAAGGAUACAACCAAGCCAUAUCAGUAUAAAACCUUUGCUCUUUGUACAAGCAGUUAAUGACAAUGUCAGUAAAUAUGCAUAGAUGCUUAAAAAUAAUAUCCCAAAGUGGUAAAACGAUUACCAUGUUUACCAGGCCAACACAUCAAUUUGGUACCCAGUCAGGCGGCCUGAAAGUUCAAAGGAUGGCUAAGUACUUUAAGAAAAGGCCGAAAACUAUGGUCAUGAUUAAAACGUCAAGGAACUGGCUACUUCUACAAGGUAAAUGCACCAUGAAACAUAAAAUUAGUAAAAGUUUCAGCAAAGCUUACUGAGUCCUUGGGCAAAGGAGUAACAGUUGGAUCUUGUGUCGCGUGAAGGGGAUAUGCUCCUUCCUGCCCUCCCUCUCUCCCUUGUUCCUUCUUUGAGCUCUUGUAAUUUCACUUCCUGAUUUGUACCUCCAAUCUAUGGAAGGAAAACACAAGUAAAGACCAUAGGUCAUUUUAUAUUCCGACAAGGAAAAUCACCAUGAGUAGAAGAAUGUUAACCUGGAAUCUUGAAAAAACAUCAAAACUGUAAGUUGUACUACGUGGCUCAAGACCUGCCUUUUACAAGUACGGUGUGCACCAGUAUACUAGUGAACCAGAGUGCUUGCUAGAUACUUCACAUCAACUAAAAGAAACAUCUCCUUGAUCGGAAUUCGCAAACAUCAUGUUUAAAGUAGGUGCAAAACCAAA
rnacentral:lncRNA from 1 species